AAAAUAGAUACCCGGUAGUCCACGCCGUAAACGAUGACGUGCUAAGUGUUGGGGGUUUCCGCCCCGUCAGUGCUGCAGCUAACGCAUUAAGCACUCCGCCUGGGGAGUACGGUCGCAAGACUGAAACUCAAAGGAAUUGACGGGGGCCCGCACAAGCGGUGGAGCAUGUGGUUUAAUUCGAAGCAACGCGAAGAACCUUACCAGGUCUUGACAUCCCGGUGACCACUAUGGAGACAUAGUUUCCCCCUUCGGGGGCAACGGUGACAGGUGGUGCAUGGUUGUCGUCAGCUCGUGUCGUGAGAUGUUGGGUUAAGUCCCGCAACGAGCGCAACCCUUAUUCUUAGUUGCCAUCAUUCAGUUGGGCACUCUAAGGAGACUGCCGGUGAUAAACCGGAGGAAGGUGGGGAUGACGUCAAAUCAUCAUGCCCCUUAUGACCUGGGCUACACACGUGCUACAAUGGACGGUACAAACGGUUGCCAACCCGCGAGGGGGAGCUAAUCCGAUAAAACCGUUCUCAGUUCGGAUUGUAGGCUGCAACUCGCCUACAUGAACG
rnacentral:rRNA from 1 species